AUAAUACUUUUCACGUGUCGCCAAAGGGAUAGGACCAGAGGUAUGACAUGUAAGCAGUUUGAGUCCAGGUGAAGACGGUCCCUUGGUUUUGAAGAGAGGCUACAACUCCAAGCAGGAGGAAAGUGAGUUUGAAGCUCUAGAUGUGAGACCAAAGUUGUAGAAAGAAGUCAAAGAGGAAGUCCCUCAUGUGUGGUACGAGUUGGGCAGACGAUUAGAAGAAUUAAUAUAUUACAUGAGACACGGGGCUACUGAUAUUCUCUGGAUUGUUGAGACAUCGUUUAUUGCAGUGGAAUGUUACUCCUCCGUGUCAGCCUUCACCACUGACAAAAACGCAGGUUCAAAAGUUGGCCUAGCUGCUGUUGUCAUCUUUUAUGCUGCUACCCUCCUGCCGCUCACGUCGGCCGGGGUCUAAUGCUGCAGCUUCCGGAAAUCAUACAGACACCAUUACGACUGGUACCUCCCAGGAGCCUCUGCCUCAUUCACAUCUUUUAAAGUUACCAUGGACAUAAGACUAGCAGCCUUUUGUAAUCAAAAUGCCAAGAAAAUUCUGAACUUUCUUAGGAAAGUAAUGAGGACAAAGAAAAAAUAUGAUUUUUUCCUCAGGAAAAACUAUGCUGCAUGGACAACUGGAAUAUUGUAUGUAGACUAAUUGAUGACAUCUUUAGGAUAUUGGGAGAUGAAUGGAUUCUAAAGAAAGUCUUAUUCUAAAAAUAUAUCUUGACUAUUAUUGGAAGACAAGGAAAAUUAGGCUCAGAGAUCAAUGGGCUGAACCAAAAUUACAUAACAAGAAAAUGAUAGUGUGGAGAGUAAGAUCCAAAUCUCCUGGUUCCUUACUUACAGCUUUUAAAAAUAUAUAUAUAAAUCAUAUAAAACGGCUGGAGCAAAAGGCUGGAAAAUCUAGCUUAUAAGUUCAGGAUAAAAUAAUUAGACUUCUUCUAGUUUGGAACAACCUAAACUAAGAGGUAAUGGCCAAGAUUAUGAAAUAAUAUUGGGUUUGAUAGGAUAGGAUCAGAUACUGGACUGUGGGGCAUAAACUACUACCAAAGGGAAUGUUGUGAACAAAGGAAUAUAUAACUAGUCAAAUUUCCUUUACAGCUGUUCCCACAUCCCUGUUUUCUACUGCAGUGUCUUAUCCUUCUAGUUCCUGAUACUCAACCUGUCAUGCAACAUGAAUCUUGACAUGUCCCAGAGUCAUUUCCUGUUUUGGGCUUUACUAUUGACCUAAGACUUUAGUCUCAGAAUAGGGACCAAAGAUUUUACUGGCUUGCCUAGAUUGACUUUUCAGAACCUCUGGAUUCUUCAUUAUCUCCAAAUUCUAUCCUCAAUAGUAAAGGUCAAACAUUAAGUUUCAAAAUUCUAAGAUACAGGGGACAAAAGGGUACUCUGUGAAACCCAGAAAAGAUCAAUUUAGGUCAAUUUAAAGACCUUGCAAAUUUUAUUUGCUUUAUCAUUAUUCAUGUUAUAGAAAGCAAUUUUUGUACAUUACCGUGAAGACACAGUAAGAUACUAAGUGACUUCAUGUAGCUUUACUUAAAUAGCUCUGCAUGAACAAUCACAAGGAAUAAAAGUAAAAGAAAAAAAUUAAGAUGAAUAAUUCUAGAAGAAUUGCUAUGUGCCAGUCACCAUGCAAAUCACUUUCAUAUACAUCAUCUAAUUUAGUGUCAGCAAAUAUAUAAAAACAUUACUAUUCUUACUUUAUUAAUGAGGAAACUGAGGCUCGAAAGUUAAGUGACUAGUCUGAGAUCUACAGCAAGUUAUUCCUAAAUGAUGCAGGAAACAGAAUAUCUGGAAGGAUCCAGAACAGAGUGGAGUUGGAUGAAUGAUGUAAAGAAGAGAAGGCCAACAAAUAACCUAAAUAUAACAGUAUGAGGAUAUACAGACACUAGUGCUCAGAUGUUCUCCAUAUUUGUUGAUGUCAGAAAAGGGAAAUUAGCUAAGUUUAACUUAGGAUACUAGUGUCCAAUAGAAGGCUGGAUUUGCUAGCAGAUAGGUCUGCAAGAUACUAGAAUGAGUAACUAAGAGAUGUUGUAAACUCUUUACAUUCUCUCAAAGGAGUUACUUUAAAUAAUUUUUAGAAUGCUUUCUUUAUUUAUGAGGGAGAGAGAGAAAGAGACAGCAUGAGUGGGGGGAAGGACAGAGUGUGUGUGUGUGGGAACACAGAGGAACCAAAGCUGGCUCUACACUAAUGUCAGUGACUGUGGGCUCAAACUCACAAACCGUGAGAUCACGACCUGAGCUGAAGUCAGACGCUCAAUUGACUGUGCCACCUAGGUGCCCCAUCAAAAGGAGUUACUUUAGAUGUUCAUCUUUUUUCAGAAGAGAAGAUAUUUUACACAUGUGAUUAUAUGGAAUAUAUGGAUGUUCAUUCAACAAACAAUUUUUUUUAAUAAUAUGCUAGCUGCUAUGCUCAGUAGGUCUGUGGAUAGAUUGUUGAACAUGACAGAUUGGGCCUCAGUCCUCCCAUCAGAUAAUUCAAUAAGCAGUAAUCAUGAAGGGUGCAGGGAAACAAGUGGGGUGCUGAGGGAGUAUCUGAUCUAGCCUACUUUUAAUCAGGGUAUGCUUCCAAAAAAAGUUCUGUCUAAACUGAGACCUGAAGGAUGAAUAUUAUCCAGGAAGAGAAGAGCAGAAGUAUUUCAGAAUUAAAACCAAGUGCAACGUGGGAAUUGUGUGGCUUCUCACAAACCCUUCCAGGGGUGGAAUUUCGUAAAUCAGUCAAUUGCUUAGGUCCCUCAUGUUGUCAUAAUGUUCCUGAAAUCACUGCCUUCUUUAUGGUUUCUGGGUAAGCCACUGACACACUCUAAGUUUCCCAUGUGAUGAGUGAGAAUCUGGGGAGUGUCCCUCCAGUGUGCAAUGUGGAGCUGACGUAAACCCACGGGAGCGAGUGAUGAAAUGGGCAACUCGGGGUGUGGACUCAGAUGGCCUGGGUACAAGGACUGGCUGUGCCAGAUACUAACUUGAUGAUCCGAGAAAAAAAAUCCCUAAAACUCAGUAGCCAAAGAACAGUGACAUGAAGAUGAGCAGAGACGGAAUGCUAUUCCCUGACAACAAAAAUGAGGAAUUUCAUUCCAGCUAAGAGGAAAAUGUAUUCCUUUAAAUUGUUUUCAAACUUUAUUGGCAUCCCACUCCCCUGGGCUUGUUAAAACAGAUUGUUGCGCCCCAUCCCCAGAGGUGCCAAUCCAGGAGGUCUAGGGUGUUAAUUCUGGAGCAUUACCAUUUCUACCAAGUUCCCUGGUACACUGAUGCUGCUGGUUCAGGGAUUACACCUUAAGAACCGCCUUUGUAGAAAAUGUUGCCCAUUAACCAAUCUUCAGCUUGUUGCUUACUAAACCAGCAAAUCCAACUAUUUCUUCAGUUCCCAUUAGCUCUUCCUCUCAGGUAACCUCAACUACCAACAGAAAAUGCUGCAGUGUGAAGUUACAAGCAAGCACAUUGUUAACCAUUUUAAAAUGCCAACCUCUAUUCUAAGAGGCUAUUUUGGCUGAGGUCUUCCAUUUGGUCAUUUUUAGAGUAAAAUAAGUAAUGGAAUAUACCAUCAGAAGCUCCAAAGGAGUUAAAACUACUACUGAGUACAAGUGCUUAUUUUCAUUAAGAGCAAGGACGUCACUUAGGAUUAUUUUCUUGAGACUUUAAAUGCCAACAAAUGCAGCCGUAUUUGAAAGGGUAUCUUAUCCCCACCUUGGCUGCUUUUUAAUGUCAUAUGGCAAUUUCCACUUUCCACAAGGUGAGCAUUCACAAGCCUACAUUUCUUCACUAAAUUACUUUUUCUUUCUUGCACUUGUUUUUUCUUCCAUCCUGGAAGAGUGACUCCCAAAAAGAGUUACUUUUCAGAUGACACCAUUAAAAAGUAUGGGCAUAAAAAUCAAAACCUUAGGCAUAAAUCAUCAAUUGUUAAUUCUCCAUUUGAAACAAGUAUAUUCUCAACAUCAGUACAAUCCAUGUUGAUGCAACGUAGCGUUAGGAUAACAUCAAUGAAUGUAGGAAAGGACUGGGUCUGAAACCACAGUAUCUUCAUCCUUGCCUUUUCUAGUAGCUUCAAGUUGACCUGCAUCCUCCUAAAAUUUGGAAGAUGUGACUGAUGACCACACAUCAGAGAGAGGAUCAGUUGAGAGAUAUAGACAUAGCUUGACAUGUACUAUGUAGAAGAAGGUUAUCUCAUUGUACUCAGGAGGCCUUGAAGCAUUUUUACAGGCCAUGUAGGCAGAUUUGGAACUCUAACUCAGUACCCCAGGCUCCUAAUCAUACUGCCUUCUGAGUUUCUUAAGUGUCUCUCAAUACUUAUUUCAAUGUCUUUUGCUCUGCUUAACACCAUUUUCCAGGGCUUUCCUCUUUUUCCUGCCUUGCCCCACCUAAUAAUGUGAUUACCUUUAAUAACUGCUUCAAAACUUCAAAGGUUUUCAACCAUUUUUAUAGGGAACUCACAAAAUUUAACAGCUUUCAAGACCUAGUAAAAUUAAUCUUUAUUGGCCUGUAAGCCCUACGUAGAGCUUUCCUAAACUGUGCCUGUCAGCAAAUCAGUCUCUUACUUCAGAUCAUAUCUGACUUGAACCUGCAACUAUCUACUUUCCCAUUCUUCCAUUCUCAGUGCCCAACAGCCACCAGGGUUUCUAGACUUCUCUUCUGCUAUAAUAAACAGUGCACACUGUCUCUUGUCUCCAGGAGAUAAGACCGCAUGCUUCAACAACAAACUGUAACUGUUAUUCGAAGUGACUGUUCAAAGUGAGAAACUCUUCAUCAUGGACAAGGGGGAAGAUGAAGAAAACAUUCCAAGGAUUAAAGAAGACCUCAGCCCAGAGCAGGAGGACUAAUAUUAUAGCAAAGACUAUUUUCAGUGUGACUUGAUUAACCACUGAAGAGAGGAGCAAGUUUGGAGAGGAGCAUAGUAAUUCCUUAGUGCUUAGUUAAUUUGAGACCUCUAACAACUCCCAGAGUCAUGGUGGGUCACAUCCAUUUUAAUAGAAGUUUUUCCACUCACCUAGCUUCUUCUUCCCUAUAUUCACCUUGGGGUACACAUCAUGCAGACAUUGCUCUGAUGGAAUUAAAUGCCAUAUUUAGUGGUCAGUUAAGUCCACCAUACGCACUCACAAAGAGUGAUAUUCUAAUAAAUAUUUUUUUAGUAUACUUGACACACAAUGUUACAUUAGUUUCAAGUGUAUAGCAUUAGUGAUUCAACAAGUCUAUACUUCAUGCUGCGCUCACCACCAGUGUAGUUACCAUCUGUCCCAAUACAUCACUAUUACAAUAUCAUUGACUACAUUCCUUAUGCUGUGCCUUUUGGCCUUGUGACUUAUUUAUUCCAUAACUGGAAGCCUGUAUCUCCCACUCUCUUUCACCCGUUUUGCCCAUUCCCCCACCCCUAAUCAAUAAAUCCUGAUAAUGUAAUUUACUUAUUAUCGUAAUAGCCUUGGGUAUCCUUAAAGUUUAUUCAUUUAUCUUUUAGUAAUCUGUAUACCCAAUGUGGGGCUCGAACUCACAACCCCAAGAUCAAGAGUCACAUGCUCUUCUGACUGAGCCCGAGAGGAGCCAGAGAGGUGCCCUUAUCUUAAUAACAGCUUAAAAUCAGUAGUAAAUCAGUAACAAACAAAAACUUCUGGCCUUAUUUAUGGGAAAACCUGAAAUAAGUGUAACAAUGAACAAUUUACAAAGUUUGUCUUGCAUAUGCUACUCUAAUUGAUGUCCAUUACAAUCUAACACAUGAGAAGAGAUUAUUACUCCCAUUUUAAAGAUAGGAAAGUUUUAAUGAGUUACCCAAGCUCACACAUUUAGUUCAUGACAGGUAAAGGUAUUAAAAACAUGUGUCUUUUUUUGAGCUUUUAUGCUUACAAUAUGUACAAAACUAUUAGAAGCAUGAAGCUAAAAUGGCUAUAUUCUCUUGGUUUCCAUAACAAUAUAAUAUCUUUUUUUCUUCUUUUUAAUUUGAUAUUUUUUUAAUUUGAUAUUGUCUUCUCUGUAUCUUUACCACUUCAUCAUCCUGUGCUCAACUACUAAAUAUUGGAAUUCCUCAGAGUUCAGGCUUACCCUGUAUUCCCACCUCCCCUCGCACUGUGUGAAUUACUUCAUCCGUUCACGUGGAUUUAAAACUCUAUCUCUAUGCCAACAAUACAUGAGUACGUUAUUUCUACAAUAUUCUUCUGAGUCAAGAUGCAACUCUGUUCUUAAAACUCUACAUGGUAGUGCAAGUUUAAUGGGCCAAACGUUGAUCUCAACAGGUCUUAAUUCUGUCCGCUUCCCAACAUUCUCACCAUUAAUGUAGUCUAAAUCAGCAAUAGCAGCUCUUUUCAACUUGCUCCCUUGAGUCUAAUUAAAUGAAUGUAUAUAUAUUGUCUUUUAAAUGUCUUUUAAUGUCUUUUAAACAUGGAAAUUAGAUCAUGUCACUUAUACUCUGCUUAUGAUCUUUUGAUGGCUUCCUUUCAGCUGCUAGAAGACAAAUUAUUGACAUAAUUUAUAAGGUCCUUCUCUUAUUAGCUAUCAUCCAAAUCUUAUCUCAUGGCUCUUCCCUCCCUCCUUCACUCUACUUCUGCACAUUGGCCUUCCCUCAGUUGCUCUAAUGUGUCAGCCUCUUUAAUGCCUCAGAGCCUUUCUGCGUGCUCCCUUCCUGUGUUGCCCAGUCACUCACAUCUCAUCAUUCUUCAGUUUGCAGCUUAAGUGUCAUUUACGCAGAAUGGGCUGACUCUCCCGAUUUAAAUUAAGUCCUUAUUUUAUACACUUUCAAGCAUCCUAUUCUUAUCUUUACUAGUACUUAUCACAGUUUUAAAUUAUUUAAGUCUUAAUGUGAUUAUCUGUUUAUUUAAAAAAAAUCUUAGUAAGCUAUAACAUUCAUGGAAGCUCAUGGGCUCUCCUCUGCACAGUAUUCCUGGUGGAAUAUAUAUUGAUAUUAUUUAUAAUUGAACAAAUAAGUUGAACAAGAUUUUAUAACUUAUUUAAUACUGAGCUGGAAGUCAAAACCCUUAGUAUCUAGUUCUUAUCUUGAAGCCAACAGGCCCUAUGAUCUCUCUUCCUCUCUGGGUGCUGUGGUUUCCUCAUGUGCAUAAAGAAAAGGUGAGAGUCUUUGUUUUCUAAAUUUCAUCUCAUCUAUAAACUUCCCUAUAUCUAUUGCACAGGCAAAAAUACAUCUAGUAACCAUGAUUGGGGCCUCAGAACACAUUGAAUAGGUCUCCAAGAGAAGGGAAAACGUUACUUAUUUGUACCAUCAUGACAUUUAUCCCAGUUGUGUUGCUAUUUUUGCAUAUUUAGAAGCAAAUUUAGGAUUGUAUCUUCUGACUCUGCCUUGCUCUUUUGCAAGAAAUUUUAAUGAGAUAAAGUUACACUUAUUAAUCACAAACUGGAUUUGUGUGUGUGUGUGUGUGUGUGUGUGUGUGUGUGUGUGAGAUACUUUGUGAGGGUGUGAUGUCCUCUAGGUCUCCACUUCAAAGGGCAUCUUGGCCCAAUAGGAUAAAUUUCAUUCAGAGAUUUAAGUUUAUCAUCAAUCUAGUCUAUGUCUUCCUUUCUUUGUAUGUAAAGUCACUGGCCAUCAAGUUAAUUGAGAUCAUAAAAAUUAUAAAAUAAUCCAAAUGCUUAUUUUGUAAGCCAUUAGUGAUCCCAGCAAGGAGGAAUCUGUCAUGUUGAUUUUUUUAUUAGACUCUGUCUGGAAGACAAUACAAUGAAACAGACAUCCUCAUCUUUAUAAGUACAUAUUCAAACAAGUCAACACCACUCAGAAGACAAAACACUCCUUCCAAAUUACCAGUGUUUAUCUUCCACUGUGUUUCCAUUCCUACAUAUGGUAUCUUCUCUCCGACCCAAAUCUUGCUUUUUUUUAAAAAAAUUUUUUUAUUAUAGAUCACAGAUGUUGGGCUAGUAGGUUUAUAAACUAGUCCUUACUUCUGGCUUUAAAAUCAGUUCCACAUUUAUAGGACACUUUUGGAAUCGUGUAUGAACUCAAAUAUUUAUGAUUGCUGCUAACCUCAGAAUUAAAUGUUGCCUUCCCCUUAGAGCACGAGGAAGCAUUUUUUCAUUAGAUCCUGGAAACUAACUGGCUCAACUCCCCAAGAAGCUUGGGAUCAUUUAUCCUAGAAUUAUCUGGUAGUUGAGAAAACUAACAUAGACAUUGGGAAAGCCAGCCUUCCCAAAGAAAGAGUAAUGAGCAAUGAAUGGCAUGCCUCUGAUUCUGUAACUGAGCCAUUUAGGCUUAUCUCCAAAAGUUUAAGUUACAUACAAGAUAUUUUUCCUCUGUGUUUAGGACCUGGGUAAAGGAGUAGGUGUCUUUUCACCUGUGUUGGAAUAGUUUCAGAAUAAGACGUGUAUGGUGAGUUUUUACGGACUGUGUGUGACUUCCAUUUAUUGUAUUGUCUUGCUACAUUUCCUUUAUAAAGAUUUUUUGUUGUUGUUGUUGUUGUUUGGUUUUUGGCUUUUGGUUUUUUUUUUUUUUAACCAGCAAGGUAUAGGCUAAAAAGCAUGUAUUUUGAAGCCAGGUAGAACAUGUACAGAUAUCGGUACUCCCACUCUCUGCUCUAAGCCUUAAUGUUCUUAUUCAUGUGUUGACAGUGCUGCCUAACUUACCACGAUGUUGUAAGAUUGAAAGAAGGAUGUUCUAAAUGCCAUGCCUUGGAAAGGCAUAAGGUGAUGUUCAGCGGUUGCUAGUUAGAAAGCUUUCUUCCAAAAACAGUUAAUUUAAGUUUGGGCACUUAAAUGAAUAAACUUAGUGGAGUAGAAAAUUGAAAAAAAAAUGCCAUGCCUUAGAAUAUAAUAAAUGUUUACUAACUAGCAUUACUAUCAACAUAGCUAUUAUAUAUGGCUUCCAGAAAAUCAUGGUUCAAUAGUGUGUGUGUAGAGUGAGGAGAAAUGAGGGGUGUUUCACCAACUAUUGGGUUAUUAUUCUUGGUUGAGAACUUAAGUGCUUUCACAUCUGCUAUGUCAUCUCUUUCAACUACUUUUCUCAUGUACUUGGAAUAAAUGAUAUGCCUGUGGACCCACAACUAGUAAAGUAGUAGAGCCAGGAAUUAACCAAGACUUCUCAGGUCUGGAGACCGAAUGUGAAUAAGCACCACUCAGUGCACCAGGGCAUGCUUUCAUACAAUUCACAGGGCCAAAUUAGAGCCAAGAGUUGUCUGACUGAUAAAGUUUGCACAGACAAUAAAUAAUUGACAUAAACCUAUCUUAAAAUUUUUGCAAAAAAUACAUGUAUUACUGCAGGUGAAAAGAAAUUAAAAAAGAAAUUGAUAAUACAUAAAUUUCACACUUAGCUUUCAUGGUAAAUAUAUAAGUUUUUCUUUUAAAAAUCUUAAAUUCCAGGGGCACCUGGGUGGCUCAGUAGGUUGAGUGUCCGACUUUGGUUCGGGUUCAGCUCGUGGUUCUGAGCUUCGCGUUGGGCUCUGUGCUGACAGCUCGGAGCCUGGAGCCUGCUUCAGAUUCUGUGUCUCCCUCUCUCUGCCCCUAACCCACUUGCAUUCUGUCUCCAUCUCUCUCAGAAAUAAAUGAACAUUAAAAAAUUUUUAAAUCUUAAAUUUGAUAUGUACUAAGAAGCAGUAUGGCAUAAUAAUACUUGUUGGUGUAGAUUCUGAAGCCCAACUGCUGAGUGAGUGUCCUGACACCAGCUUGGCCAAGUUACUUAGGAUCUCUGUGUUUCAGCUUCCUCACCUAUAAAAUAGAGCUAAUAAUACCUACCUGACAGGUGGUUUGGAGAAUUAAAUGAAUUAUGCUACCCUUAGACAUUACUUAAGCAAGUUCUGGCCCAUUGUAAGACCUCAAUAAAUGCUAACUGAGGUUGUAAUGGGAAUAUUACCAGAAUGCUUUGGAUACACAAAAGACGGAAUUUUUUUUCUUCCUUGAAAGGUCAAAAAGGCUUUUUCUCCUCUUGAAUGCUCUUCCUUCACCUUUUCUCUGCCUGCCCACUCACUUUUGUCCCUCAAAAUCCACUCAGAUGUCAUUUUUUUCUGCAGAGCCUUCUGAUCUCCCUGUCUCUCUUCUUUACCAGAAGGAAUCACUUUAUUCUUUAUGCUACUUCUGGAUUCUGUAUCUCACCACCAUCCAUUGAAUGGUUUUUAUUUGCUUUACCUUUCAUUCUCAGCUUUGGUGAAAAUGCUACUUUGCACUGAAUAUUUAAGAUUAUCUUUUGAACAUUCUAGGAACUUAGAGUAUAAUAAAGAAAAAAUACAGAGGAAAAGGACAGAUGAAUCACAAAAAGAAAGAAUACACAAAGAAAGAAAUGGUUAUUUUUUUCAGUAAAUGAAUUUAAGAAAGCUGGAUAACCAUUUUGAAAAAAAUUGAGAAUCUCACAUCACAACUUAAAGUAAAAUAAACCUCAUUAUGAAUUUAAGAAUGUAAUAUUUGUACUGAAAAAUAAAAUGCAAGUAAAUAUCUUAUUAGGAGCUCAGGAACAAAAUUUUUCUAAGUUUACAACAAAGGAAGAAACUUUUAAAUUGCAAUUGUUAGAAUAAUAGGUAUAAUUUCUAUAUAGCAAGAAAAGAUGAAAAAACUAUAUGAAAGAUGUGAGCUGGAAAGAUAUUUUUAACAAAUACAAUAAAAUGAGCAUUAAUAACAUUGACUUACAAUAAACGAUUUAAAAUAAAUAAGAACAGACAAACUCAUGUACAAAAUCAAUAAAUAACAUAUUAAAGUUUUUAAAAUAAUAAAUAUUAAUCUCUAAUAAAGGUAUUUAAUCAAGUGUGUAAUCAAAUGUAUAAAAUUUAUCCACAUUGAGAUGUCAGUUUAAAAGAAUUUAAAUGAGUAUCUUGUUUUUUGUGGUUUUUUUUUAAAGAGUAAAGUUCAUCUUUGGCAUGAGUAUGGCCAAACAGGUCUUCCACAAAUUGUAAAUGGGGAUGUAAAUUGAUACAUCUUUUUGGACAAUAAUUUGAUAAUAGUUUAAGAAAAUUUUUCGAAAAUGUUCAUUCACCUUGAGGCAUCACCUUCACUUCUAGAACUUAUACUAAGGAAAUAAUCAGAUUUGUGUCAAAAUAUGAAUGUACAAGGACAACAGCACAGCAUUCUCUUUAUGGUGCUGUCAUCCAUAAGCAACUUUAGUAUAAAUUCUAGAGUACCCAUAUAUUUGUUUGUGUUCAUCUACAUGCCAAUAAAUACAGACCUUAAUGGCUUUUAAUGGCUGCUAACAAAGUAUUGCAAAUUUUAAAAGCUGUUAUGAAAAUAUCUCAUUUAUUAUGAUCAAAUGUUAGUAAGAAAUUUAUAUAUAUAUGUUGGGGUAGAAGAAGGGAGUUUGUAUAGAAGUGUGAAAAGGUACAUAAAGAUUAUGUGUAUAGUGGUAUUGUGAUUUUUAUCUUCUUCUCUUUAUGUGUAUAUAAGACCGUGUUGUCUAGAAUAAAUUUGCAGUGCAUUUAUAA